GACGUAGGGCGCGAGCGUUGUCCGGAUUUAUUGGCGUAAAGAGCUCGUAGGCGGUCUGUCGCGUCUGCUGUGAAACUCAGGCUUAACCCUGAGCUUGCAGUGGUACGGGCAGACUAGAGUGCGGUAGGGAGACUGGAAUUCCUGGUGUAGCGGUGAAAUGCGCAGAUAUCAGGAGGAACACCAAUAGCGAAGGCAGCUCGCUGGGACGUUACUGACACUGAGGCGCGAAAGCGUGGGGAGCGAACAGG
rnacentral:rRNA from 1 species